rnacentral:rRNA from 1 species
GUGGGGAAUUUUGGACAAUGGGGGCAACCCUGAUCCAGCCAUGCCGCGUGCGGGAAGAAGGCCUUCGGGUUGUAAACCGCUUUUGUCAGGGAAGAAAUCCUUUGGGUUAAUACCUCGGAGGGAUGACGGUACCUGAAGAAUAAGCACCGGCUAACUACGUGCCAGCAGCCGCGGUAAUACGUAGGGUGCGAGCGUUAAUCGGAAUUACUGGGCGUAAAGCGUGCGCAGGCGGUUUUGUAAGAUCGAUGUGAAAUCCCCGGGCUCAACCUGGGAACUGCAUUGGUGACUGCAAGGCUGGAGUGCGGCAGAGGGGGGUAGAAUUCCACGUGUAGCAGUGAAAUGCGUAGAGAUGUGGAGGAAUACCGAUGGCGAAGGCAGCCCCCUGGGAUAACACUGACGCUCAUGCACGAAAGCGUGGGGAGCAAACAGGAUUAGAUACCCGUGUAGUCC